rnacentral:snRNA from 1 species
ACACUCUUGAUUCUCUUCAGAUCGUAUAAAUCUUUCGCCUUUUACUAAAGAUUUCCGUGGAGAGGAUCAAUAAGAGUUUCAAAUAAUUUUUUGAUGCCCUGCGAAAGUGGGGCU